CUUCGUCGUAACUACAAGCAAGAAGGAGGAGGUGUGACUCGUGGGGUUUGAGGAGAUAGUGUCGAUGUAGGAACGUAAAGGCUAUUCAAUAAUGAAAGAGGGUAUCGAUCUCGUUGCCGGCGGCCGGAGCAAGAAGGCCAGCCGCAUCGCCCCCAAAUCCGAUGAUGUCUACCUCAAUCUCCUCGUGAAGGUUUCUGGUGCGGAGGACCGGGAACAAGUUCAACACAGUGAUCCUGAAGCGGCUGUUCAUGAGCAAAAUCAACCGGCCGCGCAUCUCCCUCAAGAGUUUCAUCACUUUCAUGCAAGGAAAGGAUCAAUCUUUUUUCUUCGUUCUUAUUCUUUGCCAAGUAUUCUUCAUAUCUUUCUAGGCUCGAGCCGCAUUAAUGUUCCGGUUGCAAUUAGGACGACAAGAUAAGCCGUUGGGACUGUGACGGAUGAUAAGAGAGUGUCCGAUGUGCCGGCAUUGAACGUGACGGCUUUGAAGUUCACGGAGACGGCUAGGGCAAGGAUCCUGAAGUCUGGAGGGGAGUGCUUGACCUUCGAUCAGCUCGCCCUCCGAGCUCCUCUUGGGCAGAACAUGGCAACCAAAUUAGAGUUGGGUGUGUCCUUAUUCUUACGUGUGGUGACUUGUUGCAGACAUCAUUAGAAAAUUCCUCAUCCAAGUGAUUACUUCUAUGUUCUUCCAAGGGAUUGAAAUUAUAUUUGAGGGAGUCAAUCCUCUUAAAUCUUGAGUGAUGAUAUUGUUCAUAAUCCCAGCUCAUUAUGAGAUCUUCCAUUUUCUGGAACAUCAGAGAAAAUACAUAACGACAUUAUCUGAGCAAUAUAAGGUUCUCUUGAGAGGCCCAAAGAAUGCCCGGAAGCUGUUAAACACUAUGGUAAAGCUCCUGGUGUGCCGCACAGCCAUACAAAGCCUUACGUACGCUCUAAGGGGAGGAAGGGCCAGAGGAAGAAGAAACAGCAGUGGGUUCAGGGUCCGAGUCAGUUGAGCUGUUCUUGAGCAAUAACAGUUCAGUCAAUUAGGGUUUACUUUUACUGUCGUGUGUUGUAGAAUUCGGGGACGCAGCAACUGAGGAUCUCAAGGAUUUCUUACUUGUUUCGGGUUUCCAUCUGAAUCAUGGACAUUCAGGUCAUUCGAUUCCAAUCAAGGUGCAUGUUUUCUUGGUA